rnacentral:lncRNA from 1 species
UGGCAUAUAAAAGCUACACGUAGGGUCUAUUCUGUGCAGCGGUCCGUACUGGUUACUUGCAUCGCACCAUAUUGUUCGCUGCAGAUUCCGCGCGAACGCGGAUGCCAAAGUCGCUGCGUCUUUUCUUGAAAAAGGAAUGUCGAUUUUCUCAGAUGCCGCGCUAUGUGCAGCUCUGGCAGAGGAGUCAGCACGAACAUUCCCUUCUAUGCCGCAGUGAGCUGGUAGCCACUGCAGUACAACAUCGUGGUGUAGUUCAUGAGACUUAAAGCACCUA